UCCAUGAAAACACCCAAAUCGGCAUGCCAUAAGGCUACCAUCGGGGUAAAGCAAUACACACUAAAAGGGAAGCCGCACUAAUGAUUCUAGUCUUGCAUUAGAGGAAAAAUCCUUAUAGGUUGCUCAUCAAAGGUUGCCCUUAUCAAACAAGUGCAACCUUUAAGGAACAAAAAAAAAAUAAAAAAAAAAAAUUUAAAAUCUGAAAAUUUUCCCAAAAAAAAAGCGCAACCUUAAUCUAGGAAUUAAAAAAAAAAAAACGACAGUCUCUCUUCCCUGCAAUCCAACGACAAUCCAACGUCUCUCACAGCUCCAUCAUAACAUCUCCCUGCACAGGUGACCGGCGAAGCCACCGGAGAAACCACACUCACACGCUCGCACCCUCUCUUAACCUUUACUCUCAACCCUAAACCCCAUUACUCUCUCGCUUUCUCUGCCGACAUUGAUCUAGAUUACACUCAAGCUCAAAUUGCUCUCUCAAUUUGAAGCUGUACGACACAUUGCAAACGAAAUCUAAAGACUUUGAGGUACUAAUUUGUCCCCCACCUUUUGAAUUUCGAUCUCUGGGUAUGUUUUGUUCUUGAUCUUUUUUCUAGUCUUGCUUGGGGUUUCAAUUUGGGGGUUUUCUUGGUAUAAGCUUAUUCAAAUUUCUCUCUUCAUGUUCCGAAAUUUUGGUUAUUUUCCAUGAUUUACAAGGUUAGAUAUUAGGUUUUCUAAAUUAUUUUCUGAUUUAGGUUUUGAUUUUAAUUUAAUAAUUAGCAAUAAUAUGAUCGAGUUUUAGUUUUCUUGGGUUGAGAAUUUUAGUGAGAUGCUUUUGCGACAAUAAUAUGAUUUUAAUUUUUGUAAUUAGCAAUAAGAUGAUCGAGUUUUUUUAUUGUAUAUUUGAAUCUAUUUUCUUCAAUAUCUAUUGCUCGGUGGUAGUGUUUGUUCAUGUUAAAUUUGUGGUCUUAUUGCUUGAUUCGUUCUCUGUUUCUUUUUGCAUUAAGUUUUUAGUUUAAUAAUACUUUUAUUAUCUUAUGAUUUCGAAUUCAGAAGAAACCUCAUGUCAUUUGUUUAAAUUGUUGGGUUUUGUUUUUUGGUUGAUCUAAAAUGAGGUUUCCUGUUGGUUGAUCUAUUAGUGUAGUGGACUAGUUAUAUUGCUGACCGUGAAUAAGUUGAGGACUUGCUGGUACUUGACAUUAUUUUCACAGUUAACAUGGGUGCUGCUGGAUAUAGUUUAUAGUUUUAGAAGGAUAAGGAGAAUUAUCUACUCUGCCAUAUAUUUAAUUAUACAUUUUUACUAGUUAUGCCAUACAAGUAACAGUAGGAAUAUCAACGAGUUAUGAAUAUACCAUUCAGUGCCAUUUGGAAUUUCAAGUUUUGAUAAUGAGACUAUGGUUAUCAAUUUUGAUCUCCAUUUAUAUUGUUUUGAUCAUCGGGAUAUGAUUAGCAAGUUUCCAGCUAAGAGUACUCUAAGUUGUUAGCUAACUCAUAUUUUGAGAUUAAAUAGGAACCAAUUGGCAGAUAAAUGGAUCACGAUAAGAAAUAAUACAGGAGUUCUUGGUGUUGAAAAUUGCUAUGAAAGUGGAAUCAGUUCCGCAAUGGGAGUAGUUAGGCUGUCAUGGUCGAAGGUUUUUUAAAAAGUAGAUCAUACGAUAAAUAAGUGUCUGCUUGGCUGUAGUGGUGAAUGAAAUAUGGACAUUAAUUGAGAAAGGAUGAGUUCUUGAAUCUCUCUGUUGCUUCUAAUGUGCAUCUGUGUAUGUCUUUUGUACUGCUUUUGUUCUGCACUAUACUUCUCUUCUGUUUUGCUCUGCUCGGAUACUGUUUCUGUACUGCUUUAUACUGCUGCUGUAGUUGACUAGUUGCUGCUGCAGUUGGCUUUGUAUUGCUGCUGUUGUGGCUGCUCCAGUUGGCUCGAAUCAGCAAUAACAUGAUAAAAGUAUAGCUUAAGGUCUCAUAUAAUACAACCAGCACUAUAUCAUGAUGUAAGAACAACUAAACAAAUCCAGUUAUUGUUUACCCCCCCCAACUAAACAACUAAACUAAAUUAUCACCUCAGUUGAUCAACCUUCUGAAAAUGUCAUUAAUGGCGAGCUGGUAGAUAGCCAUAAACUGAAAAGAAAAUCAAAACCAGUUAUUGUUUACCGCCCCCCCCCCCUCCCCCCCCGCUCUUUCUUCUUUUCUUGGGUGUACUUUUGUUGUUCUUCCAUUGCUCUCUCAGUUUUAUAAGGGGGAAUGUGGUUUAUUAUAAAGCAAUGUCAAUAGCGUUAUUAGGGUGAAUGUGGUUUCUUAUACAGAAAUCGCAUAGCUUUAUCAGGAGAAAUGUGGUUUCUUAUAAAGCAAUGGUACUCCAAUUCUUUCUACUUUUUAUGCUUUUCGCUUUUUAACCUUCUAGGAGAGCUUUUUGUUGUACAUUUUGGGCUUUCCAGUCUUUCUUUCUUCCCCCUUCUCCAGCAGACUUGUUAUCCUCUGGUGAGUGCAAUUAACAUGAUUUUUGCUGCAUGCAAAGUUUUCUUUAUAUCGAACUGCUGAUUUGAAGCAUUUGUAUAUUAAUAGUCGUAGGAUAGUUUAGGAGCUCCAUUCAUUUGUUGGACACAAUCUGGCAAGACAUGACCGACACCGAUUUAGAAAGAACAAAGCAUAUCAUGGCGGAUAUGAUCUGCCCUGUUCUGUUGGACACAAUCAUUAAAGGUUCUUCUUUACUUAAGUUCUCCCUUGAAAUUUAUUUGAUCUACUCAGUUUGUAGAAGUUUUAAGCAUUUGUUUAGUGACGUUCUUUGAUUUCUUGCUGUAUGAAUUUAUGUGAAAUUUUUUAUUCUUUGAUUUGUUUGAUCUACUCAAUUGAAAUGUUCUGUCUCCACAGUCAAUUUCCUUCUCUGUAGUUGAGUUCAUUUCUGUUUCAAAGUAAGAUAGCUAAAGUAUGCACCAAUUGAAAUGCCUUUUAUGUUCACUUGUCUUGAGGUCAAUCUUCAUCAUAUAAACAAUGUUUCUUAGUAAAACGGUAAGUUGUGCUGCACAUAGUAAUUUGUGUAGGUGAUGGUAGUUAGUAUAUUGCUCAAGACUGGGCCAUUUAGUUCCUUCUGAAGAUAGAUAUUGUUGCAAUGAGGAGAUAAGUAUCUGCUUUAACAGUGUUGCAUUUUCGGAGUUUCAGUUACAAUUUUGUGGAAAAUAUAUUACUCUUAUUAGAGUUAUUCCCUCUUUCCCGUCAUAUUGAUAACAUUUUGUAAGUACCAAAAAAAGGGAAAUAUGGAUUGAUUUCUGUCUACUAUUAACUGUAUUGACGUAUAAUGUAUUCACAUGUUCAUGCAGUUUUGAGUUUUUAACUAUAUUUUAAAAUAGUUAAAAGUAGAAAUUACUAACUUAUGGGGUAGACUGGCAGAAGGGUUAGAAACUACGUAUUUGUUGCCUCUUUAUACCGCAAAAUGUGUUGGGUUAUUGUUUUUGUAUAGCGUAGGCAGUAAACAUGGGAUAACACUAACAACGCUAUUUUUACUGAUUGUAAGUGCAACAUAGGUUUGAAAUGGAGCUCCUUUUUGCAGUAUCAAAGGUGGAAUUCUUGUCCAAUCCUUGUGUAGUUUAUUUUCUGUCAUACUAAUGAGAUUUUCCAAAAGAAUUUUAAUAGAUUGUUAAUUGUUUAACAUGAAUUGGGAUACUGCUUCUAUACCGAGUGAGGCUGGUAUAAAUCUAUAGUUGUUCUUUCUCUCAACUUUUUCUCCGGCAGAUAGGUUAAAUUUGGUACACUUUGAAAUUUUGUCAUUAUCUUACAGGCAAUCCUCGAAUUUCUACCGUCAAUAUUAUCUGGAUUAAUCCAGUCACAACAACUUGGGUGCAAAGUCCUUGUAGCAGUACAAAGGGUGUAGCAGUACAAAGGGUGUAGCAGUACAAAGGGUGAAUUAGCUGUGGAAGUAGCUCUGGAGAAGGAAGCAGUCAGGCUAACUGGUGAUGCAUGGAGGAUUAUCCUAGAUUGUUGUCUGCUUGUUUUCCACCUGAUUGAUACUAGGCGCUCUAUUCCAUAUGCAAUAAAACAAAUCCAAGACCUUUUUGGAAUAUCAUGUGCCUUUGAUCAAGCAGUGCAGGUUUUCAAAACUCCAAGGGAGGGGACCUUUACCAAGGAGGAGUUGGAUGAAGUUCGAGACAAGUGGGCUACUUACUUCAACGAUUGUGAACUACCCUCAGUGUAAUAAGUAGAACAAGCUUGUAGUUAUCCGUUACUCUUACAUUAUUUUGUUAUUUAUCGAUUUAAUUAAUUACAUUUGAAUUAAUACGGUAAUAUUAUUGGAAAUUUGAAAUUAAUAUCAUUUUUGAGGAAUGUCAAACUGAUGUUUGGUGAAA